rnacentral:rRNA from 1 species
AAUUUUCCGCAAUGGGCGAAAGCCUGACGGAGCAAGACCGCGUGGGGGAAGAAGGCUCUUGGGUUGUAAACUCCUUUUCUCUGGGAAGAACAAAAUGACGGUACCAGAGGAAUCAGCAUCGGCUAACUCCGUGCCAGCAGCCGCGGUAAGACGGAGGAUGCAAGCGUUAUCCGGAAUGAUUGGGCGUAAAGCGUCCGCAGGUGGCAGUUCAAGUCUGCUGUCAAAGACCGGGGCUCAACCUCGGAAAGGCAGUGGAAACUGAACAGCUAGAGUAUGGUAGGGGCAAAGGGAAUUCCUGGUGUAGCGGUGAAAUGCGUAGAGAUCAGGAAGAACAUCGGUGGCGAAGGCGCUUUGCUGGACCAUAACUGACACUCAGGGACGAAAGCUAGGGGAGCGAAUGGGAUUAGAUACCCCAGUAGUCA